rnacentral:rRNA from 1 species
AACGAACGCUGGCGGCAGGCUUAACACAUGCAAGUCGAGCGCGUAGCAAUACGAGCGGCAGACGGGUGAGUAACGCGUGGGAAUCUACCGUACCCUACGGAAUAGCUCUGGGAAACUGGAAGUAAUACCGUAUACGCCCUAACGGGGAAAGAUUUAUCGGGGUAUGAUGAGCCCGCGUUGGAUUAGCUAGUUGGUGGGGUAAAGGCCUACCAAGGCGACGAUCCAUAGCUGGUCUGAGAGGAUGAUCAGCCACAUUGGGACUGAGACACGGCCCAAACUCCUACGGGAGGCAGCAGUGGGGAAUAUUGGACAAUGGGCGCAAGCCUGAUCCAGCCAUGCCGCGUGAGUGAUGAAGGUCUUAGGAUUGUAAAGCUCUUUCACCGAUGAAGAUAAUGACGGUAGUCGGAGAAGAAGCCCCGGCUAACUUCGUGCCAGCCGCCGCGGUAACAC